GUCGAGAAUAAUUCACAAUGGGGGAAACCCUGAUGGUGCAACGCCGCGUGGAGGAUGAAGGUCUUCGGAUUGUAAACUCCUGUCAUCUGGGAGUAAGACCUGACGGUGAAUAGCCGGCAGGGUUGAUAGUACCAGAAGAGGAAGGGACGGCUAACUUCGUGCCAGCAGCCGCGGUAAUACGAAGGUCCCAAGCGUUGUUCGGAAUCACUGGGCGUAAAGGGAGCGUAGGCGGCGUGGUAAGUCAGAUGUGAAAUCCCGGGGCUCAACCCCGGAACUGCAUCCGAUACUGCCAUGCUUGAGGGUUGGAGAGGUAGCUGGAAUUCUCGGUGUAGCAGUGAAAUGCGUGGAUAUCGAGAGGAACACUCGUGGCGAAGGCGAGCUACUGGACAACAUCUGACGCUGAGGCUCGAAGGCCAGGGGAGCAAAAGGGAUUAGAUACCCGUGUAGUCC
rnacentral:rRNA from 1 species